GAGAAAAGAACGAUGCCGUUGACAGUGAGCUGAAGUGGGCUCUGCUACCUACACACUCCUCCAGCCCCUAGUUUAUUCUUUCUUAUACACCUGAUGUCAUACUGCCCAAAUUCCUGUAUUAGCAUCAUGCCUUAAAUCCUGCAGCAGACCACCCAUAGAUUUCUGGUGGUGUCACAUGCAUCUCAGCACAUACCUGCCCACACACACCACCUGAAAACCAGCACAGGGCCUUGUUCAUAAGAGAGCCACAGAAUCAGAUUUUAUUAUCUGUUUAGAAAAAUUCUGUGAAAUGGAAGUAGAAAAGAAAAGGACUGGUCGACUGUCUACCCAAUGCUGUGCAGUGCUUCUCUUCCCUUUGCCCCUGGUGGAGAGGAAAGGAGCCCCUCCUCCCCACUCAUGCUUUGUCACCCUCCCCAGGAAAGGUGAAUCAGCGCUGCAGCCGCCCAGGCCCACGCCCUGCAGGUGCACACCCAGCUCCAGCAUGAAUCAGCCCCCAGCUCACAGAGCAGUGAUGACCACCCUCCUAGGUCCUGCCCAGAAGAGAGGGAUGAACCGGGAGGCAUGUCUGCACCUGGGGAAGCUGCAGAGCGUAACAUCCAGGGUCAGUUAGAGGAUUCAGAAGCAGAUGGCACUACCCCGCCAGGCUCUGGCCUCAGGAAAACCUGGGGACACAUCAGUCACCACGGCAUGGUCGUGAGGGGUCAGGCGCCCUGUGUAGAGCACCCACCCAGCCUGGCACCUGGUAAGAGCACAAGCCUGCCGUCCUUCUUCCCUCCUGAAUCCAAGGAAGCCAGAAAAAGCCAGGCUCCUGGAGAAAAACCAUUUCUUCCUCAAUCCUGCAUUUUGGGGCCAUUAGAGUUUACCUUGAAUGAUGUCAGAGAUGAGUGCCAAGUUUGGAAUUAUUUUUCUUAAAAUGUACACAAAUUCUCUGGUGACUACUUAGAGCAGAUGAGUAUAGUUAAAGAGUGAGUUUGUGAAAAGACAGAACAGACAUUCCUGGUCAGUAGCUACAGGAAGCCAGCACCUGGCUCCAGCCCAGCUCUGCAGGCUCACGCGGUUCCCUAUCUUCCUCCUUACAACAAGGCUCUAAUGAUCAAAGCCUAAACUGCAGGAUCUCUAUGUGAAGAGAAAAGAGAGAUUCACAGCUUUGAAAGCACUUUCAAACAUUUGGAAAAGAGGAGGUGUCAAAUAGUUAACUCGCUAGGUAUGUUCUGGGAAGUUAGGCCAUGACACUUUCUAAACAUUCUGAAAAGGAUGCCAAAUGCCAAAUUUUGCAAGGCAAUGGCUAUGGGAAAGGCAAACCCAGGGGUCGAUGGAACCUGUCCUUUGU